CACAGAGCAGGAGGAGGCCAUAGGCUUCCUCAGCUGAGGCAGGAAGGGGAGGCCAGGCUCUCUCUGGACCCCCGUGGGUGAAGCUGUGUGAGACGCCUUGAGGGACCCCAGAGGAAGCCCUCCGCUUGCAAAUGCAGAAUCAGGACCCAGUCACUGCAGUUCUGCCUGGGCGUGGCUUUAGCAGCAGUGCUGGACUCAGACCUCAGAGUCUGGGCCUCUGCCUGCAGGAUGGCCUGAAGACACCUGAGGGACUUGGGCUACGAUAGAAAAGCUCAGCCAUUGGGUAUAAGGAACUCCAGGCUGGAACACUGCAUGAUUCAGACGACAUAGAGACAAGCCCUGAAGAAAGAAAGCACCUUGAGCAUCCUUGCUUCCUGCAAAACAUCCCUCCAGCGAGGUCACCAGGAGAACUGUCCAGCUGAGCUCUAACCAACCCACAACAGAGAAGUAGCAAAGUGUUCCUGGUUAGGACACCAAAUUUGGGAUGGUUUCCUAUGUAAAAAUUAGUAAUAGAGACACUUAGCUAAUGAUCAGCAAGCAACUGGAUGUACAAUGAACAGAGACAAGGGAGGAGCUGACGUAUCUCUUAACAUUGUACCAGAAUUUUAAAGAGAAAAUUCUAGAAAGAAUGAUUGCCUCUAAGUUGACACAACUAAACUUUAAAAUAUUAUCUUAAACAACUUUUAAUCUUUUAAAAAUUUAUCCCAAGACAGAUAUAUUGAUAUUUGGUGACUGGUCCUUUUUGGAUUCAAAGGUGUAUAAUCAUUUUGACUUGUCAACUAGGGUCUGACAAGAUCUACAGAAUUGGCAGUCAGUUUUCUUAUGUGCUCCACAGCUUGGUUUUAAGCAGCAACAUUUGUUAAGUAGAAGAAAAUACCCUGCCUUCUUUCACAUUCCAAUGAAUUGGUUUCUUACCCAUGGGUCUUUAAAUCCAGCCUUUAAGAUGAAAUAAAUGAUUGCACUGCAGAACUGAAGCCCGACAUGGACUUCAGCAAUAAUCACCCUGAAGACUGAAACUUACCAUGCUUCUGGCAUUUCAUAAAUUCUGACUCUAAGUUGUAGAGAAAAUAGAACAAAUUGUAAAUUGUUAACCUAUUUUAUUACAAACAUAAAAUAACACUUUCCCCAUUAUAGCACAGUAACUUUUAUUUUAUGAAUGUCCACAUCAAGGCAAUAAAGCUAUUUCCAUGCAUUUCAGCAGACUUUUCCAAGAGAUGUGUCAGGAUUAUGAAGGAAUCAGGUGGGUGGAGCUGAAUGUGAAGUUUGCCUCAGCUUUAUUACUGGUGAUCGCUGCAGCUUCCAACACUCAGCAAUGGGAGCUUUCUCCAUGUUACAUUCUUCAUGUAGCUUUAUAGGAAUAAAGUAUAUUUAUUAUCCACAGCCCUGUGUUUAUGACUGCUUAAGCAUGA
rnacentral:lncRNA from 1 species